rnacentral:rRNA from 1 species
CCUACGGGAGGCAGCAGUGGGGAAUAUUGCUCAAUGGGGGAAACCCUGAUGCAGCGACGCCGCGUGAGUGAAGAAGGUUUUCGGUAUGUAAAGCCCUUUUUGCCGGGGAGCAAAUGACGGUACCUGACUAAGAAGCCCCGGCUAACUACGUGCCAGCAGCCGCGGGAAUGCGUCGGGGGCCAGCGUUAUCCGGAUUUACUGGGGGUAAAGGGAGGGUAGACGGGAGCACAGGUCUGCAGUGAAAUGCCGGGGCUUAACCCCGGAACUGCUGUGGAAACUGUGCAGCUAGAGUGCAAGAGAGGUAAGUGGAAUGCGUGGUGUAGCGGUGAAAUGCGUAGAUAUUAGGAGGAACACCAGUGGCGAAGGCGGCUUACUGGACUGUAACUGACGUUGAGGCUCGAAAGCGUGGGGAGCAAACAGGAUUAGAUACCCUUGUAGUC